UCGUUAAACGAUGCGAAAUCUGUCACUCUCAUGAAAUUCGGGCUGAGAUUACGUUGGCAUUUGAGCUAUGUCAAUUCAAGGUUACGGUUGCUCUUUUCAUAACAACGAAGAUCCUGGUAUAGAUACGAAGCAAUGCAGGAUAGGCAAACUCCAUGUGUUGGAGUAUCUCUCAUUUGCUGAGAGAGGACCGGAAGUAUAUCACGAUUACUGUUGCCUAGUUUGAUCGUAAAUUUCAUUGACAAUCCAGGACACAAUGUUCCCCUUUCGGCCGUACUUCGACUUGAUGACUUUUAAUAAGGUGUGAUGCGGCCAUGUAUUGUUCGGUCAGGUUCUUAUUGUUGCCAAGAUCAAAAAGUCAGACAAUGCCUAUAGCUCAGUCCACGAUGAACAACGCUAGUGUCAAUGAAUUCCCCUCGAUUGCUCGACAAGGACGAAAUGGCAACGAUGUGAUGCGUCACCUAAAGACCGAGAACCAAGUACGGCUAUAAACGAAAGAAGAUUUCGUCGAAAGCUCACGGUAAUAGUUUUGGUAGCGGCAGCGGUGAUGAAGAACCGGUCGAUUCUUUGCGAAGUCGCUCUAUACAAGCGUGAGGGUCCAGCAGUGGCGACUCGGAUGUACGAUGAUAGGGAUAACAAUAUAUCACUUCUUGUUAACGGCGAGGAGUAGAGCGCGUAGUCUGUGCCGUGUAGCGGUCGGUAUAGAAGUCAGAAGCGUGUACGCCUUUUUGCCUUCUCUUUCUUUCUAUUUUGUAGCAUGCAGCUAAUGGGAAACCUUAGUACACAACUGUCUAAUGAGUUGAUCCAUCGUCAAAGGGGCGUCUCGCUGCCUUUUGCAAGCCACUCGGAGGAAUUGAAACAAGGAACGGGAGAAAUGCGGGAUCGUAUGGAUAUGAGUGUGUAUGUACCAUUGCAGCAUCCAUACGCAUAAAUGGCGAGUUUGAGAAGUGGUAAAUUGCAACUGCCUCUGUUAUAGUAGCUAAGAAAGAACACAAGGACGAGCGGCCACAAGACGGGCAACGUUAAGGAAGUAAGCAAAAUUCAGAUCGCGUGAUGUACCAAGUGCAAAAACAACGAGUCCGCAAAAAUUCCGCAAAGACAAGUGAAAGAGAGAAAAAGGUAAAUAGAGCAAUCACUGUGAAAUGGCUACGAUUCAUCAGACAGCUCCAGUCGAUAGAGGCUAAGUGGUGCUGUCGGCACGCCGUUAUAGAGAACAACUCAUUUGGGGGCAAGUGGCGACAGGAUUUUGCCACUGGUUUGCUAUCAAGCAAGAUAAACAUACGAAUGACUGCGAAAAAGGGAUUUUCAGGUUCAUCUAUCCUUGUAGUCCAUUUAACAUGUGAUUAACUCUGGAAGAAUGUCCUUAAUCAGAAAUCAGGGUGACCGCAAAAACAAUUUAUCUAGAAAGUGCGUAAAAUGCCUGCAAUGUGGCCUGAGCCUAAAUAAAAUUUAGUCCGUAAAUCUAUAAUUAAAAACCUAAUGUGUGGCAUAAGAUACUAUCGGAAGAUUGAGUGCAGGAUACUGAUUAUUAAAAGGGCCGUCCAAAAGAGAGUGGUUCUUUGUGCGCGCAUUCUGCCCAGAAAAGCGUACAGACAAUGACGGAUCCCUCCCGCUCAUUAACACUCAUUAAGUUAUUCUAAAG